rnacentral:lncRNA from 1 species
AUGCUGGCCUCAAUAAAACACUGUUCAACCAUCUCUCUGGCAUGUUCCCAGUCUGUCAUGCUGGCCUCAAUAAAACACUGUUCAACCAUCUCUCUGGCAUGUUCCUGGUCUGUCAUGCUGGCCUCAAUAAAACACUGUUCAACCGUCUCUCUGGCAUGUUCCCAGUCUGUCAUGCUGGCCUCAAUAAAACACUGUUCAACCAUCUCUCUGGCAUGUUCCCAGUCUGUCAUGCUGGCCUCAAUAAAACACUGUUCAACCAUCUCUCUGGCAUGUUCCUGGUCUGUCAUGCUGGCCUCAAUAAAACACUGUUCAACCAUCUCUCUGGCAUGUUCCUGGUCUGUCAUGCUGGCCUCAAUAAAACACUGUUCAACCAUCUCUCUGGCAUGUUCCUGGUCUGUCAUGCUGGCCUCAAUAAAACACUGUUCAACCGUCUCUCUGGCAUGUUCCCAGUCUGUCAUGCUGGCCUCAAUAAAACACUGUUCAACCAUCUCUCUGGCAUGUUCCCAGUCUGUCAUGCUGGCCUCAAUAAAACACUGUUCAACCAUCUCUCUGGCAUGUUCCUGGUCUGUCAUGCUGGCCUCAAUAAAACACUGUUCAACCAUCUCUCUGGCAUGUUCCUGGUCUGUCAUGCUGGCCUCAAUAAAACACUGUUCAACCAUCUCUCUGGCAUGUUCCCGGUCUGUCAUGCUGGCCUCAAUAAAACACUGUUCAACCAUCUCUCUGGCAUGUUCCUGGUCUGUCAUGCUGGCCUCAAUAAAACACUGUUCAACCGUCUCUCUGGCAUGUUCCCGGUCUGUCAUGCUGGCCUCAAUAAAACACUGUUCAACCAUCUCUCUGGCAUGUUCCCAGUCUGUCAUGCUGGCCUCAAUAAAACACUGUUCAACCAUCUCUCUGGCAUGUUCCCGGUCUGUCAUGCUGGCCUCAAUAAAACACUGUUCAACCAUCUCUCUGGCAUGUUCCUGGUCUGUCAUGCUGGCCUCAAUAAAACACUGUUCAACCAUCUCUCUGGCAUGUUCCUGGUCUGUCAUGCUGGCCUCAAUAAAACACUGUUCAACCAUCUCUCUGGCAUGUUCCUGGUCUGUCAUGCUGGCCUCAAUAAAACACUGUUCAACCAUCUCUCUGGCAUGUUCCUGGUCUGUCAUGCUGGCCUCAAUAAAACACUGUUCAACCAUCUCUCUGGCAUGUUCCUGGUCUGUCAUGCUGGCCUCAAUAAAACACUGUUCAACCAUCUCUCUGGCAUGUUCCUGGUCUGUCAUGCUGGCCUCAAUAAAACACUGUUCAACCAUCUCUCUGGCAUGUUCCUGGUCUGUCAUGCUGGCCUCAAUAAAACACUGUUCAACCAUCUCUCUGGCAUGUUCCUGGUCUGUCAUGCUGGCCUCAAUAAAACACUGUUCAACCAUCUCUCUGGCAUGUUCCUGGUCUGUCAUGCUGGCCUCAAUAAAACACUGUUCAACCAUCUCUCUGGCAUGUUCCUGGUCUGUCAUGCUGGCCUCAAUAAAACACUGUUCAACCAUCUCUCUGGCAUGUUCCUGGUCUGUCAUGCUGGCCUCAAUAAAACACUGUUCAACCAUCUCUCUGGCAUGUUCCUGGUCUGUCAUGCUCGCCUCAAUAAAACAUUGUUCAACCAUCUCUCUGGCAUGUUCCUGGUCUGUCAUGCUCGCCUCAAUAAAACACUGUUCAACCAUCUCUCUGGCAUGUUCCUGGUCUGUCAUGCUGGCCUCAAUAAAACACUGUUCAACCAUCUCUCUGGCAUGUUCCUGGUCUGUCAUGCUCGCCUCAAAACACUGUUCAACCAUCUCUCUGGCAUGUUCCUGGUCUGUCAUGCUCUCCUCAAUAAAACACUGUUCAACCAUCUCUCUGGCAUGUUCCUGGUCUGUCAUGCUCGCCUCAAUAAAACACUGUUCAACCAUCUCUCUGGCAUGUUCCUGGUCUGUCAUGCUCGCAUCAAAACACUGUUCAACCCUGUAUUCCCUCAUGUGGUCUUAA